rnacentral:lncRNA from 1 species
GUGGGUCUCAUUGGGGUCUGAGCGUGACGCGGGAUUGCCGAUUUUUUGUAAGCGUGACACGUGAAAGUCAAACUAUUGUGUCGUGAAAACGGGAAUUGCGGUCAAGAUGGACCCGGGAAAUGACAAAAAAAUGAGAAUUGCUUACGUACAUAGUGUAAGCGGGAUACGGGAAUCUGACGAAACAGUAAGCGGGAUCCGGGAUCG